rnacentral:rRNA from 1 species
CCUACGGGAGGCUGCAGUGAGGAAUAUUGGUCAAUGGACGAGAGUCUGAACCAGCCAAGUAGCGUGAAGGAUGACUGCCCUAUGGGUUGUAAACUUCUUUUAUAUGGGAAUAAAAUGUUCCACGUGUGGGAGUUUGUAUGUACCAUAUGAAUAAGGAUCGGCUAACUCCGUGCCAGCAGCCGCGGUAAUACGGAGGGUCCGAGCGUUAUCCGGAUUUAUUGGGUUUAAAGGGAGCGUAGGUGGAUUGUUAAGUCAGUUGUGAAAGUUUGCGGCUCAACCGUAAGAUUGCAGUUGAAACUGGCAGUCUUGAGUACAGUAGAGGUGGGCGGAAUUCGUGGUGUAGCGGUGAAAUGCUUAGAUAUCACGAAGAACUCCGAUUGCGAAGGCAGCUCACUGGACUGCAACUGACACUGAGGCUCGAAAGUGUGGGUAUCAAACAGGAUUAGAUACCCCUGUAGUC